GGUUCAGAACGUCGUGAGACAGUUCGGUCCCUAUCCGGCGCGGGCGUAGGAUAUUUGAGAGGAGCUGACCUUAGUACGAGAGGACCGGGUUGGACUGACCUCUGGUGUACCGGUUGCACUGCCAAGUGCAUGGCCGGGUAGCCAAGUCGGGAAGGGAUAAACGCUGAAGGCAUCUAAGCGUGAAGCCCCCCUCAAGAUAAGAUAUCCCAUAGCAUAAGCUAGUAAGACCCCUGAAAGACGAUCAGGUGGAUAGGUUAGAGGUGGAAGUGCAGUAAUGCAUGCAGCUGACUAAUACUAAUAGGUCGAGGGCUUGACCU
rnacentral:rRNA from 1 species